rnacentral:rRNA from 1 species
UACAGAGGUCCCAAGCGUUGUUCGGAUUCACUGGGCGUAAAGGGUGCGCAGGCGGUUGGGUGUGUCAGAUGUGAAAUCCCGAGGCUCAACCUCGGAACUGCGUCUGAAACUACUCGACUAGAGUACUGGAGAGGGAAACGGAAUUCACGGUGUAGCAGUGAAAUGCGUAGAUAUCGUGAGGAACACCAGAGGCGAAGGCGGUUUCCUGGACAGUUACUGACGCUCAGGUACGAAAGCGUGGGGAGCAAACAGG